AUUCUUUCGCAGAGGCAAUAUCAUAGCCUAUGAGGCCUAGCCUAGCCUAGCCUAGCCUAGCCUAGCCUAGCCUAGCCUAGCCUAGCCUAGCCUAGCCUAGCCUAGCCGAGGCGUGAUCAUUGCUGGUUGAAAACUUUACCCAAUACCCCGCCGAGAUGGCUUGAGAUACAGUCAGCUCUGGCAGUUUUUGACAGCCUCCUAGAAGG
rnacentral:snRNA from 1 species